GAUGUGUUCGGUGGCCUUGAUUUUCAAUUCCCAGUUUUCUAAGAUCAACUUCUGUGAGAUGGAAUAAGUCCUGUAGCAAAUACCAGAGUACUUUCAGAUUGCAAGAUGGUCAGCAUGAAGGGCAUAUGAUUCUCAGAGAGAUAAAAGGAAAACCACAGCUAGCUGGCUAAAACAUAAAUAAAACCAUGGAUAAAUA